GAUGAACGCUGGCGGCGUGCCUAAUACAUGCAAGUCGAGCGAACAGACGCGGCUCUUGCUCCUCUGUCGUUAGCCGCGGACGGGUGAGUAACACGUGGAUAACCCACCUAUAAGACUGGGAUAACUUCGGGAAACCGGAGCUAAUCCCGGAUAAUCUCUUGAACCACAUGGUUCAAUAGUGAAUUACGGUUUUGCGGUCACUUCUCGAUGGAUCCGCGCCGUAGUAGCUAGUUGUUACGGUCACGGCUUACCACGGCAACGAUGCGUAGCCGAAGUGAGAGGGUGAUAGGCGACACUGGAACGGAGACACGGUCAAGAGUCCUAAGGGAGGCAGCAGUAGGGAAUGGUACGCAGUAGGCGAAAGCAUGACGGAGCAACGGCGAGCGAGUGACGAAGGUGUUCGGAUCGUAAAACUCUGUUAUGAGGGAAGAACAAAUGUGUAAGGAAAUGUAGACGUAUUGACGGUACCUAAUCAAAAAGCAACGGCUAACUACGUG
rnacentral:rRNA from 1 species